rnacentral:rRNA from 1 species
CCUACGGGAGGCAGCAGUGAGGGAUAUUGGUCAAUGGACGAGAGUCUGAACCAGCCAAGUAGCGUGAAGGAUGACUGCCCUAUGGGUUGUAAACUUCUUUUAUAUGGGAAUAAAACGUUCCACGUGUGGGAUUUUGUAUGUACCAUAUGAAUAAGGAUCGGCUAACUCCGUGCCAGCAGCCGCGGUAAUACGGAGGAUCCGAGCGUUAUCCGGAUUUAUUGGGUUUAAAGGGAGCGUAGGUGGAUUGUUAAGUCAGUUGUGAAAGUUUGCGGCUCAACCGUAAAAUUGCAGUUGAAACUGGCAGUCUUGAGUACAGUAGAGGUGGGCGGAAUUCGUGGUGUAGCGGUGAAAUGCUUAGAUAUCACGAAGAACUCCGAUUGCGAAGGCAGUUCACUGGACUGCAACUGACACUGAGGCUCGAAAGUGUGGGUAUCAAACAGGAUUAGAUACCCUAC